GCUCAGGACGAACGCUGGCGGCGUGCUUAACACAUGCAAGUCGAACGAGAAUCUGUGGAACGAGGAUUCGUCCAAGUGAAGCAGAGGACAGUGGCGGACGGGUGAGUAACGCGUGAGGAACCUGCCUUUCAGAGGGGGACAACAGUUGGAAACGACUGCUAAUACCGCAUGACACAUAGGGGUCGCAUGGCACCUAUGUCAAAGAUUUAUCGCUGAAAGAUGGCCUCGCGUCUGAUUAGCUAGUUGGUGAGGUAACGGCCCACCAAGGCGACGAUCAGUAGCCGGACUGAGAGGUUGAACGGCCACAUUGGGACUGAGAUACGGCCCAGACUCCUACGGGAGGCAGCAGUGGGGAAUAUUGGGCAAUGGGCGCAAGCCUGACCCAGCAACGCCGCGUGAAGGAAGAAGGCUUUCGGGUUGUAAACUUCUUUUGUCAGGGACGAGUAGAAGACGGUACCUGACGAAUAAGCCACGGCUAACUACGUGCCAGCAGCCGCGGUAAUACGUAGGUGGCAAGCGUUGUCCGGAUUUACUGGGUGUAAAGGGCGUGUAGCC
rnacentral:rRNA from 1 species